rnacentral:rRNA from 1 species
UGGGGAAUAUUGCACAAUGGGGGAAACCCUGAUGCAGCGACGCCGCGUGAGCGAAGAAGUAUUUCGGUAUGUAAAGCUCUAUCAGCAGGGAAGAAAAUGACGGUACCUGACUAAGAAGCACCGGCUAAAUACGUGCCAGCAGCCGCGGUAAUACGUAUGGUGCAAGCGUUAUCCGGAUUUACUGGGUGUAAAGGGAGCGUAGACGGAUGGGCAAGUCUGAUGUGAAAACCCGGGGCUCAACCCCGGGACUGCAUUGGAAACUGUUCAUCUAGAGUGCUGGAGAGGUAAGUGGAAUUCCUAGUGUAGCGGUGAAAUGCGUAGAUAUUAGGAGGAACACCAGUGGCGAAGGCGGCUUACUGGACAGUAACUGACGUUGAGGCUCGAAAGCGUGGGGAGCAAACA